UACGGAGGAUCCGAGCGUUAUCCGGAUUUAUUGGGUUUAAAGGGUGCGCAGGCGGAAGAUUAAGUCGGUGGUGAAAUUUUGCAGCUCAACUGUAAAAGUGCCAUUGAUACUGGUUUUCUUGAGUGUGGAUGAAGUAGGCGGAAUUUGUGGUGUAGCGGUGAAAUGCAUAGAUAUCACACAGAACACCGAUUGCGAAGGCAGCACACUAAGUCAUUAUUGACGCUGAGGCACGAAAGUGUGGGGAUCAAACAGGAUUA
rnacentral:rRNA from 1 species